rnacentral:rRNA from 1 species
GAUGAACGCUAGCUACAGGCUUAACACAUGCAAGUCGAGGGGAAACGACAUCGAAAGCUUGCUUUUGAUGGGCGUCGACCGGCGCACGGGUGAGUAACGCGUAUCCAACCUGCCCACCACUUGGGGAUAACCUUGCGAAAGUAAGACUAAUACCCAAUGAUAUCUCUAGAAGACAUCUGAAAGAGAUUAAGGAUUUAUCGGUGAUGGAUGGGGAUGCGUCUGAUUAGCUUGUUGGCGGGGUAACGGCCCACCAAGGCAACGAUCAGUAGGGGUUCUGAGAGGAAGGUCCCCCACAUUGGAACUGAGACACGGUCCAAACUCCUACGGGAGGCAGCAGUGAGGAAUAUUGGUCAAUGGACGAGAGUCUGAACCAGCCAAGUAGCGUGCAGGAAGACGGCCCUAUGGGUUGUAAACUGCUUUUAUAAGGGAAUAAAGUGAGUCUCGUGAGACUUUUUGCAUGUACCUUAUGAAUAAGGACCGGCUAAUUCCGUG